CCCUAGUAACUGCGAGUGAAGCGGGAAAAGCUCAAAUUUAAAAUCUGGCGGUCUUUGGCUGUCCGAGUUGUAAUCUAGAGAAGUGUUAUCCGCGCUGGACCGUGUACAAGUCUCCUGGAAUGGAGCGUCAUAGAGGGUGAGAAUCCCGUCUUUGACACGGACUGCCAGGGCUUUGUGAUGCGCUCUCAAAGAGUCGAGUUGUUUGGGAAUGCAGCUCAAAAUGGGUGGUAAAUUCCAUCUAAAGCUAAAUAUUGGCGAGAGACCGAUAGCGAACAAGUACCGUGAGGGAAAGAUGAAAAGAACUUUGGAAAGAGAGUUAAACAGUACGUGAAAUUGCUGAAAGGGAAACGCUUGAAGUCAGUCGCGUUGGCCAGGGAUCAACCUUGCUUUUGCUGGGCGUACUUCCUGGUUAAUGGGUCAGCAUCAAUUUUGACCGUUGGAUAAAGGUUAGGGGAAUGUGGCAUCUUCGGAUGUGUUAUAGCCCUUGGUCGCAUACAACGGUUGGGAUUGAGGAACUCAGCACGCCGCAAGGCCGGGUAUUUAUACCACGUUCGUGCUUAGGAUGCUGGCAUAAUGGCUUUAAUCGACCCGUCUUGAAACACGGACCAAGGAGUCUAACAUGCCUGCGAGUGUUUGGGUGGAAAACCCGAGCGCGUAAUGAAAGUGAAAGUUGAGAUCCCUGUCGUGGGGAGCAUCGACGCCCGGACCAGACCUUUUGUGACGGCUCCGCGGUAGAGCAUGUAUGUUGGGACCCGAAAGAUGGUGAACUAUGCCUGAAUAGGGUGAAGCCAGAGGAAACUCUGGUGGAGGCUCGUAGCGAUUCUGACGUGCAAAUCGAUCGUCAAAUUUGGGUAUAGGGGCGAAAGACUAAUCGAACCAUCUAGUAGCUGG
rnacentral:rRNA from 1 species